rnacentral:rRNA from 1 species
AUGAGAUCAUUACAUCAGAGUCAGAAUCUCCCCUGGUUGUUGAUUGGAGACCUGAAUGAAAUACAAAAUCUAAGUGAAAAGGAAGGAGGGAACCCACGACCUCCACAAUAUAUGCAAGCAUUUCAGCAGGCUAUAGAUGACUGUGAUCUCAGAGACAUGGGAUAUGUAGGUGAUGGUUACACAUGGCAGAGGGGCAGAAUUAGAGAAAGACUGGAUAGAGGGCUCAUUAAUGAGUCAUGGUCACAGUUAUACCCCCAUGUAGCACUCGAGAAUAAAUACUAUAAUCACUCUGAUCAUCGGCCUCUUCUAGUGGAUACAGAGUUUUAU